AAUUUUAUUCGACAUUGUUGAGAAAAUUUUCGAAAAGCUAAGAUGUCCAGAUGAUAUUGAUUAACCAGCUGUGGGUCAGGAAUAGAAUUGAAGCUGGCUAGAUAUGGAUGGAAGGUUGGGUACCUAAGAGUACCAUUGUUAGUAGAUGGAUUUAACUUGAGUAUUUGAAGUACUUUAUGUUGUUUGGACCUAUUGAGACCUAAAGAUGUAUUGUUUAAUUUUGUUGAGGUUAUUGGG